AGAGUUUGAUCAUGGCUCAGAUUGAACGCUGGCGGUAUGCUUAACACAUGCAAGUCGAACGGUAACAGGCCUUCGGGCGCUGACGAGUGGCGGACGGGUGAGUAACGCGUAGGAAUCUGCCUCAUAGUGGGGGACAACGUGGGGAAACUCACGCUAAUACCGCAUACGCCCUACGGGGGAAAGCGGGGGAUCUUCGGACCUCGCGCUAUGAGAUGAGCCUGCGUUAGAUUAGCUAGUUGGUAGGGUAAAGGCCUACCAAGGCGACGAUCUAUAGCUGGUCUGAGAGGACGAUCAGCCACACUGGGACUGAGACACGGCCCAGACUCCUACGGGAGGCAGCAGUGGGGAAUAUUGGACAAUGGGCGCAAGCCUGAUCCAGCAAUACCGCGUGUGUGGAGAAGGCCUUAGGGUUGUAAAGCACUUUCAAUUGGGAGGAAAACCUGCCGGUCAAUACCCGGUAGCUUGACAUUACCUUUAGAAGAAGCACCGGCUAACUCCGUG
rnacentral:rRNA from 1 species